rnacentral:rRNA from 1 species
UACGUAGGGUGCGAGCGUUGUCCGGAAUUAUUGGGCGUAAAGAGCUUGUAGGCGGUUUGUCGCGUCUGCCGUGAAAAUCCGGGGCUCGAACCCCGGACUUGCGGUGGGUACGGGCAGGACUAGAGUGUGGUAGGGGAGACUGGAAUUCCUGGUGUAGCGGUGAAAUGCGCAGAUAUCAGGAGGAACACCGAUGGCGAAGGCAGGUCUCUGGGCCACUACUGACGCUGAGAAGCGAAAGCGUGGGGAGCGAACAGG